GCAAGACAUCAGCAACAGCAGCAGGCAGCAUGGAAGAGGGCAGAGCAUAAGAGUGUAAGAGCACAAGAGCAAGAGCCACCUACAUCUUUAUUGCAGAAUUCUUAUACAGCCACCUGCUUCCCUGCCCUCCACUACUAUAGAAGCGAUAACUCUAAACGCUUAACACCCAGCUUCUCCUGAAGAUGCGACAGGGUAUAAGACAGUCACGAAUAACAAGGCAAAUUUAUCUCAUAACAGAGACAUGACAUUGGGUUGACCAUGUCUCUACAAGGUGACAACAGUGAAGAAUGAGACUUCUCUGCAUCCUCAUGAAAGCUGAGUUCAGCAAACUUAAGUCCGACUGCAGAGCAGAAGACGACAAGGCGGUGGUGGUGGUGGUAGGUGAUUGGGUUCCUUCUUCUCCUGUCAUUAGUCACCUACCCAUUAGCAGCUGGAACUCUUCACCGGGUCUGGUCUCGACCAGAUGGGCCCAUCAGGGCGGCAGCGUCUGCUUCACGAGCCUGGCCCCUUGUCUUCUGUCCUUUCACCCAAGGUGUGGUAAGGCCUUCUGGCUUUGGUCAUGUCUGGACGGCCCUCACCAUUUCCUGUUUUCUUCUCAACUUGUCUCACCCGUGUAACCAAUUCCUUACAUUAAAGUCUCUCUGGCCCUUGGAACACUUGAAAAAAUUUUAAAUUUCUUUGAUGAAAAAUAAAUUG